UACGUAGGGGCCAAGCGUUGUCCGGAGUUACUGGGCGUAAAGCGUGCGCAGGCGGCUCGUUGCGCCCGACGUGAAAGCCCCCGGCUCAACCGGGGAGGGUCGUCGGGGACGGGCGAGCUUGAGGGUGUCAGGGGCUAGUGGAACUCCCGGUGUAGUGGUGAAAUGCGUAGAGAUCGGGAAGAACACCCGUGGCGAAGGCGGCCAGCUGGGACACACCUGACGCUGAGGCACGAAGGCGUGGGGAGCGAACGGG
rnacentral:rRNA from 1 species